rnacentral:rRNA from 1 species
AAAGACCAUCCCAGUUCGGAUCGCAGGCUGCAACCCGCCUGCGUGAAGUUGGAAUCGCUAGUAAUCGCGGAUCAGCAUGCCGCGGUGAAUACGUUCCCGGGCCUUGUACACACCGCCCGUCACACCAUGAGAGUCGGGAACACCCGAAGUCCGUAGUCUAACCGCAAGGGGGACGCGGCCGAAGGUGGGUUCGAUAAUUGGGGUGAAGUCGUAACAAGGUAAC